UAAAUGUGGACCGAAAGCCCUGUCCCUUC
rnacentral:piRNA from 1 species